rnacentral:rRNA from 1 species
GACGAACGCUGGCGGCGUGCUUAACACAUGCAAGUCGAGCGGUAAGGCCCUUUCGGGGGUACACGAGCGGCGAACGGGUGAGUAACACGUGGGUGACCUGCCCUUAGCUCUGGGAUAAGCCUGGGAAACUGGGUCUAAUACCGGAUAUGACUCCAUAACGCAUGUUGUGGGGUGGAAAGCCUUGUGCGGCUAGGGAUGGGCCCGCGGCCUAUCAGCUUGUUGGUGGGGUGAUGGCCUACCAAGGCGACGACGGGUAGCCGGCCUGAGAGGGCGACCGGCCACACUGGGACGUGAGACACGGCCCCAGACUCCUACGGGAGGGCAGCAGUGGGGAAUCUUGCGCAAUGGGCGAAAGCCUGACGCAGCGACGCCGCGUGGGGA